rnacentral:tRNA from 1 species
GAGCUGGGGCUCAGUGGUAGAGUGCUUGCCUAGCAUGCGUGAGGCACUGGGUUCAAUCCUCAGCACCACA